UUUUAGAUAAUAAUUUAAAGUCUAAUCUGCCCACUGAAUAUAUUUUGAAGGGCCGCGGUAUAUUGACUGUGCAAAGGUAGCAUAAUCAUUUGUCUUUUAAUUGAAGGCUUGAAUGAAUGAUUGAAUAAGGUGUAAUCUGUCUCAUUUUAAUAAAUUUAAAAAUUUAAUUUUUUAGUUAAAAAGCUAAAAUAAUUUUAAAAGACGAGAAGACCCUAUAGAUUUUUAUAAUAUAUUAUUUAUAAUAUUUGAGAAAGUAAAUUUGUUGUAGAUUAUUUAUUAUUUCGUUGGGGUGACAGGAAAAUUUAUUAAACUAUUUUUAUUUUUAUACAAUGAUAUUUGUUUUUUUGAUCCAAUUUUAUUGAUUAAAAGAUUAAAUUACCUUAGGGAUAACAGCGUAAUUUUUUUAGAGAGUUCUUAUCGAUAAAAAAGAUUGCGACCUCGAUGUUGAAUUAAAAAUUAAUUUUAAAUGCAGAAGUUUAAAAAUUAGGUCUGUUCGACCUUUGAAUUUUU
rnacentral:rRNA from 1 species